rnacentral:lncRNA from 1 species
GUCGUAGCAGGAAACCGAUGGAAGUCUGAGUAUUAUCUGUUUGGUGUUUUCUGAUGUCCCAAACAUUUCUUAUACAUACCGUGAUAGGACGCACUGAAAUCUCUUCCUGAAGUUGGUAGAUUCUUUGAGGAAUGUGUUGCAUGGAAGGUGUCACUGUAAACAUGCGAUUUUAAUUAAGGGCAUAUGUUAUUUAGAACUUUACAAAUAAAACUAUAAAUUGUAGUAAGAUACAUGAAUUUCCAACUAUAAUUA